UGCGACAAGGGCGGCCCUCCGAAGAAGAUCAUGGAGACCCGGGACUUCAGUCCGUCGGCCAAGACCCUGUGCCUCACGCUCCGGAACCGUCCGUUCGUCAUAACCUGCGAGCCAUCACGGUAAAAUUUUAUAACAGUCCACUCAUUCGAGAAGUAAAAGUCAAACGUUAUAUGAAAAUAUCUUUUAAGUUUGGAAUUAUACAUGUACCUGCAGUGCGUCACCAACAUUGAUGAAGAAGGAGUCGCGGUCGGAGGGGACGGCGACCCACCGGCCGUCCCGGAGCGCGAUCUGGAGGCCGGCGGUGUUGUUGGACCGCAGCAGCGAAAGGAUCUGGG
rnacentral:lncRNA from 1 species